UGGCUGGGCUCACUUUUUUGAAGUCAUUUGUUGAGCACCCAGCCAACUGGAGCUAGCAGGAACUGAUAAAUGGCAUGGUCUGUGGUUCCAGCGAGUCCCAUGAUUUCGCCUUUCAUUCAUGACAAAGCUUUGGCUUGUGACUGUGGCUGGUCUUGACUUCAGCUCUAGACUCGAUGGACCCCCACACUCAUGCUUCCGAUCUGCUGUUGACAUUCCAGAUUGGGAAACUGAAGCCAACAGAAAUUCACAGAAUGCUAUGGUAUUAUUGCUCCUUUAUGUAUUGUGUCCUGAAGUUUCACAUUUGAUAGGAUCAGCAAAAUCUAUUUUGUGCACAAUGUAACAGAGUUGUAAUGGGACCUCCAAAAUAAUUUGUACAUUGGGAGCUUCUGUAAGACCAUGCAUAUUUAGGGAUAAGAGGAACUAUCCUUCUUAGAGAUAAGAAAUAUUAAUUGGCCAGCUAACAUUAA